rnacentral:rRNA from 1 species
AUUGAACGUUGGCGGUAUGCUUAACACAUGCAAGUCGAACGGUAGCAGGCCUUCGGGCGCUGACGAGUGGCGGACGGGUGAGUAACGCGUAGGAAUCUGCCUGUUAGUGGGGGACAACUUAGGGAAACUUAAGCUAAUACCGCAUACGCCCUACGGGGGAAAGGAGGGGACCUUCGGGCCUUCCGCUAACAGAUGAGCCUGCGUUGGAUUAGCUAGUUGGUAGGGUAAAGGCCUACCAAGGCGACGAUCCAUAGCUGGUCUGAGAGGACGAUCAGCCACACUGGGACGGAGACACGGCCCAGACUCCUACGGGAGGCAGCAGUGGGGAAUAUUGGACAAUGGGCGCAAGCCUGAUCCAGCAAUACCGCGUGUGUGAAGAAGGCCCGAGGGUUGUAAAGCACUUUCAAUAGGGAGGAACACCUGCUGAUUAAUACUUGGCAGACUGACAUUACCUAUACAAGAAGCACCGGCUAACUCCGUGCCAGCAGCCGCCGUAA